CUUGUAAAGUCCUUCUUAGAGAGACAGAUCCUUUCUAAGGGGAAGAUAUAAUACACGACAGGUAGAACUUGUGUGCAGAGCGCGGUCCAUGCCCAGUGUAUUGAGAAGGUGGGCAGAAAAUCUCCUGGAAAAGCAUGCAUGGGAACCAGCACGAGGUUGCCUUCUAAUUCACGUGUCUCAUCAUUUCACUGAAGAUGUAUGGAACGCUUCCCCCUUUCAAAGUGUUAAGUACUUUGCUGUCAGCAUCACCAUCACAGCCUGCGAACUCGACACUAAAGAGAGAGAAGUGGAAAAGGCAAAUUUUGGAGAAAAUAAGCAGAAGGCAUGGGGACUGGAAGUUGUGAGGUACGAUGAGGCUUUUGCUGAUACAGGAAUGAUGUCCUCACCCACUGGGCCAUAGGAGUGGCCUCCCAGGAUCAAAGAACAUGGGGAGCCAGCACUGACAGAUCUACACGUUGGCUUCCAGAUGCACUGCUGCAGGUGAGCAGUGAACAGUUUUUGCUGUCAGUCCUCAUCUCCCCACUUGCUGCUUUCCACAACCUCCGUUCCUCUCUGACUCUCCCUGGGCAACUUGUGUGGACCUCCAUCUGCCUCAGCGUGUCUCCCCAGCCUGGCUGACUUCAGAGGUGACUUCAUGCUGCAGAUCCAUGGAGCAGGACACAGCCCUCAAAUUCAUGUGGCUUGUAAACUGAUAUCGUUACUGAAAUGAAAUAGUUACUGACAGGGACAAAGGUGGCCCUCUGUGUCCUAUCUUGUCCACCUAGGGCACUGCUACAUGGAAGCGGGCCUUUUGGCCAGGUCUACCAGAUGAUUAACACUUUCAUAAAAACCAGCACCUUACAGCUGUGUUCAUCAAAUCAGACAGUGCCUGUGUCAAAUCCACUGUCUCCCAGUGUUGCCCUGUCCCUGAUUUCCACACAUGAAAUCAAUUACCACACAUUAGCGGAUGUUUAACACUUUAACGGAGUAUUUUUCUCUACCAUUGUUUGCAUAGAGGGGACAUGAGGAAUCAUUACCAAGUGACCAGCAAUGGAUUUUGUAUUGGCAGAGAGGAGAGGCUGGAGCUUAGUGAAGUGAAUUUAGAAUGCCCCAGGGAACAUUACAAAGUCCCUAUGCCGGGGCUCCUAGUGGCUGAAGAGGUUGAGAAAGCUGCACGUGGAGUGCGGAUUCACUGGAAAAUUCUGAAAGUCCAUGUGCAAAUCUGGGGAAUGCCAAUCACUUCCUCUGAAUCUCAUAGAUGUACACCUCGGCUCACACUCACAUUCUCCAGCCAUCCUGCCUAGUGCUGGCUUUUGCUCAUGGUAGGCUUCACACAGCACGUUCCUCACCUGAGGAGGAACAGUGUCAUUCUGGAAGGCAUGGUGACAUGGCUUGGCUGUGUCCCCACCCAAAUCUCAUCUUGAAUUGUAGCUCCUAUAAUCCUCAUGUGUUGUGGGAGGGACCUGGUGGGAGGUAAUUGAAUCACGAGGGGCAGGUUUUUCCCAUGUGGUUCUUCUGAUAGUGAAUAAGUCUCAUGGGAUCUGAUGGUUUAAUAAAGGGCAGUUUCCCUGCACACCCUCUCUUGCCUGUAGCUGUGUAAAACAUGCCUUUGUUCCUCCUUCAUCUUCCGCCAUGAUUGUGAGGCCUCCCUACCUAUGUGGAACUGUGAGUGCAUUAAA
rnacentral:lncRNA from 10 species